UGCCUAAUACAUGCAAGUCGAGCGGACAGAUGGGAGCUUGCUCCCUGAUGUUAGCGGCGGACGGGUGAGUAACACGUGGGUAACCUGCCUGUAAGACUGGGAUAACUCCGGGAAACCGGGGCUAAUACCGGAUGGUUGUUUGAACCGCAUGGUUCAAACAUAAAAGGUGGCUUCGGCUACCACUUACAGAUGGACCCGCGGCGCAUUAGCUAGUUGGUGAGGUAACGGCUCACCAAGGCAACGAUGCGUAGCCGACCUGAGAGGGUGAUCGGCCACACUGGGACUGAGACACGGCCCAGACUCCUACGGGAGGCAGCAGUAGGGAAUCUUCCGCAAUGGACGAAAGUCUGACGGAGCAACGCCGCGUGAGUGAUGAAGGUUUUCGGAUCGUAAAGCUCUGUUGUUAGGGAAGAACAAGUACCGUUCGAAUAGGGCGGUACCUUGACGGUACCUAACCAGAAAGCCACGGCUAACUACGUGCCAGCAGCCGCGGUAAUACGUAGGUGGCAAGCGUUGUCCGGAAUUAUUGGGCGUAAAGGGCUCGCAGGCGGUUUCUUAAGUCUGAUGUGAAAGCCCCCGGCUCAACCGGGGAGGGUCAUUGGAAACUGGGGAACUUGAGUGCAGAAGAGGAGAGUGGAAUUCCACGUGUAGCGGUGAAAUGCGUAGAGAUGUGGAGGAACACCAGUGGCGAAGGCGACUCUCUGGUCUGUAACUGACGCUGAGGAGCGAAAGCGUGGGGACCGAACAGGAUUANNNNNNNNNNNNNNNNNNNNNNNNNNNNNNNNNNNNNAAGUGUUAGGGGGUUUCCGCCCCUUAGUGCUGCAGCUAACGCAUUAAGCACUCCGCCUGGGGAGUACGGUCGCAAGACUGAAACUCAAAGGAAUUGACGGGGGCCCGCACAGCGGUGGAGCAUGUGGUUUAAUUUCGAAGCAACGCGAAGAACCUUACCAGGGUCUUGACAUCCUCUGACAAUCCUAGAGAUAGUACGUCACCUCGGGGCAGAGGACAGGUGUGCAUAUUGUCUCUGCUCGGUCUUUGAGAUGAAGGUGGGUCCCGCCACGAGCGCGACCACCAUCAUAGUAGUCAGCACUACAGUUGUGCACUAUUAGGGUGAACUGGCCGGUCACAUAACCGGCAGCAUGGUGGCGUUGACAACUUAUAGUUAUGUAAGCCCAAAGACCUGGGCUACACACGUGCUACAAUGGACAGAACAAAGGGCAGCGAAACGCAGGUUAAGCCAAUCCCACAAAUCUGUUCUCAGUUCGGAUCGCAGUCUGCAACUCGACUGGCGUGAAGCUGGAAUCGCUAGUAAUCGCGGAUCAGCAUGCCGCGGUGAAUACGUUCCCCGGGCCUUGUACACACCGCCCGUCACACCACGAGAGUUUGUAACACCCGAAGUCGGUGAGGUAACCUUUAGGAGCCAGCCGCCGAAGGUGGGACAGAUGAUUGGGGUGAGUCGUU
rnacentral:rRNA from 1 species